rnacentral:rRNA from 2 species
GUUGUAGUCUGGAGAAGUGCUUUCCGCGUUGGACCGUGUAUAAGUCUCUUGGAAUAGAGCGUCAUAGAGGGUGAGAAUCCCGUCUUUGACACGGACUACCAGUGCUUUGUGAUGCGCUCUCAAAGAGUCGAGUUGUUUGGGAAUGCAGCUCAAAAUGGGUGGUAAAUUCCAUCUAAAGCUAAAUAUUGGCGAGAGACCGAUAGCGAACAAGUACCGUGAGGGAAAGAUGAAAAGCACUUUGGAAAGAGAGUUAAACAGUACGUGAAAUUGCUGAAAGGGAAACACUUGAAGUCAGUCGUGUUGUUUGGAACUCAGCCUUGCUUUUGCUUGGUGCACUUUCUGAAUGACAGGCCAGCAUCAAUUUUGACCGUUGGAAAAAGGCAGGGGGAAUGUGGCACCUUCGGGUGUGUUAUAGCCUCUUGUCACAUACAACGGUUGGGAUUGAGGACCGCAGCACGCCGCAAGGCAGGGGGUUUCCCACUUUCGUGCUUAGGAUGCUGGCAUAAUGGCUUUAAAUGACCCGUCUUGAAACACGGACCAAGGAGUCUAACAUGCCUGCGAGUGUUUGGGUGGAAAACCCGAGCGCGUAAUGAAAGUGAAAGUUGAGACCUCUGUCGUGGAGGGCAUCGACGCCCGGACCUGACGUUCUCUGACGGAUCCGCGGUAGAGCAUGUAUGUUGGGACCCGAAAGAUGGUGAACUAUGCCUGAAUAGGGUGAAGCCAGAGGAAACUCUGGUG